rnacentral:rRNA from 1 species
UAGGGAAUCUUCCGCAAUGGGCGAAAGCUUGACGGAGCAACGCCGCGUGAGUGAUGAAGGUCUUCGGAUCGUAAAACUCUGUUAUUAGGGAAGAACAAAUGUGUAAGUAACUAUGCACGUCUUGACGGUACCUAAUCAGAAAGCCACGGCUAAAUACGUGCCAGCAGCCGCGGUAAUACGUAUGGAGCGAGCGUUGUCCGGAAUUAUUGGGCGUAAAGGGUACGCAGGCGGUUUAAUAAGUCGAAUGUUAAAGAUCGGGGCUCAACCCCGUAAAGCAUUGGAAACGGAUAAACUUGAGUAGUGGAGAGGAAAGUGGAAUUCCUAGUGUAGUGGUGAAAUACGUAGAUAUUAGGAGGAAUACCAGUAGCGAAGGCGACUUUCUGGACACAAACUGACGCUGAGGUACGAAAGCGUGGGGAGCAAACAGG